CCUACGGGAGGCAGCAGUAAGGAAUCUUCCGCAAUGGGCGAAAGCCUGACGGAGCAACGCCGCGUGGGCGAUGAAGGCCUUCGGGUCGUAAAGCCCUUUUCUGUGGGACGAUAAUGACGGUACCACAGGAAUAAGCCACGGCUAACUACGUGCCAGCAGCCGCGGUAAUACGUAGGUGGCUAGCGUUAUCCGGAUUCACUGGGCGUAAAGGGCGCGCAGGUGGUAUGGUAAGUCUUUAGGUGAAAGCCCCUGGCUCAACCAGGAAAUUGCCUGAGAUACUGCCAUACUUGAGUCUGGUAGAGGGAAGCGGAAUUCCCGGUGUAGGGGUGAAAUGCGUAGAUAUCGGGAGGAACACUCAUGGCGAGGGCAGCUUCCGGGGCCAGCACUGACACUGAGGCGCGAAAGCGUGGGGAGCAAACAGGAUUAGAUCCCCUUGUAGU
rnacentral:rRNA from 1 species